UUUACCCUCACAGCCGGAUAUUCAGAGCCUAUGGGCUUUGUUUCAGUGCAGAGGGGAUAAAGGGACCUGUCCCCGGCCAGGAAUGGCGAAAAUCAAAUCUCAUGGAAGCCGCCAGUAGCCCAGACCGGGCGAGAGCCGUGACACAUGA
rnacentral:ncRNA from 1 species